rnacentral:misc_RNA from 1 species
AAAGUCGUAACAAGGUUUCCGUAGGUGAACCUGCGGAAGGAUCAUUACACUCAGUAGUUUACUACUGUAAAGGAGGCUGUCAGUCUGUAUAGCUUACGCUGAUGAGCAGCCGGUCUCUUUUAUCUACCCUUGUCUUUUGCGCACUCAUGUUUCCUCGGCAGGCUUGCCUGUCGAUCGGACAACUCUAUAACCUUUUUAAUAUUCAAUCAGCGUCUGAAAAACUUAAUAAUUACAACUUUCAACAACGGAUCUCUUGGUUCUG